AUGCUGAGUCAAGGAAAGUUAAAACUAUGGAAGAACAUGAUGAUGGAGAGGAGAAUUGUAACAAAGGACCAAUGCAAGAAGGUUGAAGAAGACGUUGCUGCUGAGAUUAAGAAUUAUGCAGAAGACUCAAAAGAAUCUGAGUAUGUAGAUGAAUCUGAAGAAGAGAAUGAGAAGAGCAUUGAUGAGACACCAAUCAUUAGUCUAUACAAAGAGAUGACACUUUAG